rnacentral:rRNA from 1 species
AAAGCUUCGGCGCUUAAGGAUGAGUCGGCACCAGAUUAGGCUGUUGGUGGUGUAAUGGACCACCAAACCUACGAUCUGUAAGGGCCGUGAGAGCGGUAGCCCUGAGAAGGACACUGAGACAAGGGUCCUAGCCCUACGGGGUGCAGCAGAUGCGAAACCUUUACAAUGCGCGAAAGCGUGAUAAGGGGAUUCUACGUGCUUUCGUACUGCGAAAGCUUUUUUUGGAAUGUAAAUAGUUCUAAGAAUAAGUGGUGGGCAAGACCGGUGCCAGCCGCCGCGGUAACCCCGGCGCCACAAGUGGUGACCACAUUUAUUGGGUUUAAAGCAUCCGUAGCCUGACAAUUAAGUUUUUAGUGAAACUUAGCAGCUUAACUGUUAAGCGUGCUAGAAAUACUAAUUGUCUAGAGACCGGAAGGAGUUAGGAGUAUUCCUAGGGUAGCGGUAAAAUGUUCUAAUCCUAGGAGGACUAUCGGUGGCGAAGGCGCCUAACUAGAACGGGUCUGACGGUGAGGGAUGAAAGCUAGGGGAGCAAACAGGAUUAGAUACCCUGGUAGUCCUAGCUGUAAACGCUGCUCGUUUAGUGUUGCAUAUUUUUAGGAAAUAUGCAGCGCUGGAGUGAAAAUGUUAAACGAGCCACCUGGGAAGUACGGUCGCAAGGCUGAAACUUAAAGGAAUUGGCGGGGGAGCACCACAAGGGGCGAAUGCUGCGGUUUAAUUGGAUUCUACGCCGGGAACCUCACCAGAGGCGACAGCAGUAUGAAAGUCUGUCUGAAGGGCAUACUAGACGCGCUGAGAGGUGUUGCAUGGCCGUCGUCAGCUCGUGCUGUGAAGUGUUCGGUUAAGUCCGAAAACGAGCAAGACCUGCGCUUUUAGUUGCUAUUGUUCUUCCUAGAACAAGCACACUAAGGGGACCGCAUGCGUUAAGCAUGAGGAAGGUGCAGGCUACGAUAGGUCUGUACGACCCGAAUCCUCUGGGCUACACGCGGCAUGCAUUGGUUAGGACAAUAGGCUGCGACUCCGAAAGGAGAAGCUAAUCUUUAAACCUAACCUUGUUCGAAUUGAGGUUUGCAACCCAACCUCAUGAAGCCGAAGUCCCUAGUAACCGUGCAUUAGCAUUGUGCGGUGAAUACGUCCCUGCUCCUUGCACACACUGCCUGUC